rnacentral:rRNA from 1 species
AUGAACGCUGGCGGCGUGCCUAAUACAUCCAAGUCGAGCGAACGGACGAGAAGCUUGCUUCUCUGAUGUUAGCGGCGGACGGGUUAGUAACACGUGGAUAACCUACCUAUAAGACUGGGAUAACUUCGGGAAACCGGAGCUAAUACCGGAUAAUAUUUUGAACCGCCUGGUUCAAAAGUGAAAGACGGUCUUGCUGUCACUUAUAGAUGGAUCCGCGCUGCAUUAGCUAGUUGGUAAGGUAACGGCUUACCAAGGCAACGAUGCAUAGCCGACCUGAGAGGGUGAUCGGCCACACUGGAACUGAGACACGGUCCAGACUCCUACGGGAGGCAGCAGUAGUGAAUCUUCCGCAAUGGGCGAAAGCCUGACGGAGCAACGCCGCGUGAGUGAUGAAGGUCUUCGGAUCGUAAAACUCUGUUAUUAGGGAAGAACAUAUGUGUAAGUAACUGUGCACAUCUUGACGGUACCUAAUCAGAAAGCCACGGCUAACUACGUG